UUUUUUUUUUUUUUUUGUCAGCAACCAUACAUUUGUAUAAUCUAUCCUAUCCUAAUUUAGGGGAAAAGGGAGCCUAAAGAGGCUGUCGUAGGGACUAGUGAGUAUACAGACCCAACUAGAUCAAAAGAGUGUUAUGACUCAAAAAGGGACUUAAAUUCCUACCUUAGUGGCCAUUGAGCCAUUGGCCCGGUGGUUCAAAGCUACCAAUCCCAGUCCUCAUAGUAUACAUGACACAGCCAACAGCCUCUUUUGCUGUCAGUACCAAGACAUUUAAUUUGACUUAAUCUAGAAGGAGAGGGGAAAGAGGAAAGAGGAAAGAGAACUUUUUAUAUUUAGACUAGGGAUAAUUUCAUAAUACUCCCCUAAAAUUUGUAAUAAUUUUACUAAGUUUUCUUAAGAUUUCAAAAAUUAUACCUAUCUCUCUUGAUUUGAUACUUGUGAUUAUCAAACCUUAGACUUGAUCAACAAUUUUAAUUAAUACUCCAAAAUAUAAGUUUAAUU
rnacentral:lncRNA from 1 species